rnacentral:rRNA from 1 species
UACAGAGGUCUCAAGCGUUGUUCGGAUUCAUUGGGCGUAAAGGGUGCGUAGGCGGCGCGGUAAGUCGGGUGUGAAAUUUCGAGGCUUAACUUCGAAACUGCAUUCGAUACUGCCGUGCUAGAGGACUGGAGAGGAGACUGGAAUUUACGGUGUAGCGGUGAAAUGCGUAGAUAUCAGGAGGAACACCUGUGGUGUAGACGGCUCUCUGGACCGCAACUGACGCUGAGACACGAAAAGCGUGGGUAGCAAACAGG